AAGGAUUGUGGAAGUGUGUACCUUCUAAAGCUGCACCUCUUCUGCUUUGUGUCCUACAUCCUACGUAUCCAGAAGUCUUCGAGUGGGGAGGAUGGUGUCCCCCACUGUGUGGGGCUAACAUUGGAUUCAUACACAAGCCGAUCGAUCCAUGCUGGACAAAGAACAAGCCCCUGCGUCUCACCGUCAUGGUCACCAUUAAAGGGCUGGAUUUGCUUUCUGUUGUCAAGAUCCUUGAAGGGUUCCACAGAGUGGGUGGGGUCGGAAGAGGAGGAGCAAGGCAGUAGGUGGGCUCUUUCCUCCACCCCAGCCCAUCUCUCCUGUACAUCCUGGUCUUUCUUGAACUGGAAGGUCCUCCUACACCCGUCUGUCAGUGGCACCGUAAGCUGGAUAGAGCAGAUUUGGCCAACCCCAACCAAUUCAUUAUUUACAUUUUGAGUCUGCAGAUGGUCUGAGAUACCUAGAACAGUGAAUUACAGCUGCCUCUAUCUUCCUCAUUUCUAGAGGUAAAUGAUUCUCAAAAUGGAAACUUGGGGAAUUAAAAAAAAUCAUUUAAUUAUUUUACAAUCACUUUUCAUUUUAAGUUCUCUUAUUUGAAGUCUGCCUGGAAAUUCAUGCUUAAAAUGUCCUUGAGGGGCACCUGGGUGGCUCAGCCAGUUAAGCAUCUCUUGAUUUUGGCUCAGGUCAUGAUCUCACAGUUUGUGAGUUCGAGCCCCACAUCGAACUCUGUGCUGACAGUGCAGAGUCUGCUUGGGAUUCUCUCUGUACCUCCCUUUCUGCCACUCCCCUGCUCUCACUCUCAAAAUAAAUAAACCUAAAAAAUUUUUUAAAUGCUCCUU
rnacentral:lncRNA from 1 species